rnacentral:rRNA from 1 species
GUCCAGACUCCUACGGGAGGCAGCAGUGGGGAAUAUUGCACAAUGGGGGGAACCCUGAUGCAGCGACGCCGCGUGGGUGAAGGAGUACUUCGGUACGUAAAGCCCUAUCAGCAGGAAAGAAAAUGACGGUACCUGACUAAGAAGCCCCGGCUAACUACGUGCCAGCAGCCGCGGUAAUACGUAGGGGGCAAGCGUUAUCCGGAUUUACUGGGUGUAAAGGGAGCGUAGACGGCAGCGCAAGCCAGGAGUGAAAGCCCGGGGCCCAACCCCGGGACUGCUCUUGGAACUGCGCGGCUGGAGUGCAGGAGGGGCAGGCGGAAUUCCUGGUGUAGCGGUGAAAUGCGUAGAUAUCAGGAGGAACACCGGUGACGAAGGCGGCUUACUGGACGGUAACUGACGUUGAGGCUCGAAAGCGUGGGGAGCAAACAGGAUUAGAUACCCGCGUACAA